ACACGACUACAUUAGAUACCCCCGUAGUCCUAGCCGUAAACGAUACUCGCUAGGUGUCGGCCACGGUGCGACCGUUGUCGGUGCCGUAGGGAAGCCGUGAAACGAGCCACCUGGGAAGUACGGCCGCAAGGCUGAAACUUAAGGAAUUGGCGGGGGAGCACCACAACGGGUGGAGCUUGCGGUUUAAUUGGAUUCAACGCCGGAAAUCUUACCGGGACCGACAGCAACAUGAAGGCCAGGCUGAAGACUUUGCCGGAUUAGCUG
rnacentral:rRNA from 1 species